CCUACGGGUGGCAGCAGUGAGGAAUAUUGGUCAAUGGACGAGAGUCUGAACCAGCCAAGUAGCGUGAAGGAUGACUGCCCUAUGGGUUGUAAACUUCUUUUAUAUGGGAAUAAAAUGUUCCACGUGUGGGCUUUUGUAUGUACCAUAUGAAUAAGGAUCGGCUAACUCCGUGCCAGCAGCCGCGGUAAUACGGAGGAUCCGAGCGUUAUCCGGAUUUAUUGGGUUUAAAGGGAGCGUAGGUGGAUUGUUAAGUCAGUUGUGAAAGUUUGCGGCUCAACCGUAUAAUUGCAGUUGAAACUGGCAGUCUUGAGUACAGUAGAGGUGGGCGGAAUUCGUGGUGUAGCGGUGAAAUGCUUAGAUAUCACGAAGAACUCCGAUUGCGAAGGCAGCUCACUGGACUGCAACUGACACUGAGGCUCGAAAGUGUGGGUAUCAAACAGGAUUAGAUACCCUAGUAGUC
rnacentral:rRNA from 1 species